rnacentral:rRNA from 1 species
GAUGAACGCUGGCGGCGUGCCUAAUACAUGCAAGUCGAGCGAACGGACGAGAAUCUUGCUUCUCUGAUGUUAGCGGCGGACGGGUGAGUAACACGUGGAUAACCUACCUAUAAGACUGGGAUAACUUCGGGAAACCGGAGCUAAUACCGGAUAAUAUUUUGAACCGCAUGGUUCAAAAGUGAAAGACGGUCUUGCUGUCACUUAUAGAUGGAUCCGCGCUGCAUUAGCUAGUUGGUAAGGUAACGGCUUACCAAGGCAACGAUGCAUAGCCGACCUGAGGGGGGGUUGGCCACCUCAGAAGGUGAGACGCGACCCUGGCACUUAGGGGAGGCACAGGUAGGUACGCUUCCGCACUGGGGGAAAGCUUGACCAAGCAACGCAGCGCGGGUGAGGAGGGUCUUCGGAUGGUAAAACGCUGUUAUUGGGGAAAAACAUAUUUAGAAGUAACUGUGCAAAUCUGACGGUACCCGAAGAAGAAGCCCCGGCUAACCUCGUG